AACGAACGCUGGCGGCAUGCCUAACACAUGCAAGUCGAACGAGACCUUCGGGUCUAGUGGCGCACGGGUGCGUAACGCGUGGGAACCUGCCCUUAGGUUCGGAAUAACUCCCCUAAAGGGGUGCUAAUACCGGAUAAUGUCUUCGGACCAAAGAUUUAUCGCCUUUGGAUGGGCCCGCGUUGGAUUAGCUAGUUGGUAGGGUAAAAGCCUACCAAGGCGACGAUCCAUAGCUGGUCUGAGAGGAUGAUCAGCCACACUGGGACUGAGACACGGCCCAGACUCCUACGGGAAGCAGCAGUGGGGAAUAUUGGACAAUGGGCGAAAGCCUGAUCCAGCAAUGCCGCGUGAGUGAUGAAGGCCUUAGGGUUGUAAAGCUCUUUUACCCGGGAUGAUAAUGACAGUACCGGGAGAAUAAGCGCCGGCUAACUCCGUG
rnacentral:rRNA from 1 species